GUGGGGAAUAUUGGACAAUGGGCGCAAGCCUGAUCCAGCCAUGUCGCGUGAGUGAUGAAGGCCUUAGGGUUGUAAAGCUCUUUCAGUGGGGACGAUAAUGACGGUACCCACAGAAGAAGCCCCGGCUAACUUCGUGCCAGCAGCCGCGGUAAUACGAAGGGGGCUAGCGUUGUUCGGAUUUACUGGGCGUAAAGCGCACGUAGGCGGAUCGUUAAGUCGGGGGUGAAAUCCUGGAGCUCAACUCCAGAACUGCCUUCGAUACUGGCGAUCUUGAGUCCGGAAGAGGUGAGUGGAACUCCUAGUGUAGAGGUGGAAUUCGUAGAUAUUAGGAAGAACACCAGUGGCGAAGGCGGCUCACUGGUCCGGUACUGACGCUGAGGUGCGAAAGCGUGGGGAGCAAACAGGAUUAGAUACCCUAGUAGUCC
rnacentral:rRNA from 1 species